CAAUUAUGUGAAAACUCAUCAAUGGCAAUGAUUGAAUGUGGUUCGAAAAAUUUCUACAUCAGGGAAGGAGAAAAAAUUGCAUGAAGAGUCAUUGGUGACUGGGAUCAAAUGCUGUGCGAAAACAUCCACAUCAGGGAAAGAGACAGAGUUGAAUGAAGAGUCAUUGGUGACUGGGAUCAAAUGCAGUGCGAAAACUUCCAAGUCAGGGAAAGAGACAGAAUUAUGUGAAGAGUCAUCAAUGGCAAGGAUCAAAUGCAGUGCAGAAACUUCCACAUCAGAGAAAGAGACA